UCUGGAAACUCUUUAUUGACAGAUUGCUCCCGCAUAAUGGAGCCCUGUGAUUGAUUUGAUGUUUCGUAUGGAUGAUGCAGAACUGGACAAGAUGCUUUGCCCUACUUCCAAGUUCCAAUUCUUAUCUUUCAGGUCAUAUUCCUGUAAAGUUGGACGGAUUCUGGAAUGAGAUGAUGAUGAAUGGAAGAGACGACAGACGUGUAAUGCAGGGCGGUCUUGGCUAAGUGGACCCUGGCUUCCAGGCUUUUGAUGUGACUUAAGGUCUUGGUUUCAAGCGACAAAGCUGCUUCUCGGUACUAUAAAGAUCUUUCCCAUUUCGUGGACCGACUGUGUACAAGGAAUCCCCGAACAUAGUGUUGAGAUAGUUUUACGUGCAGCUUUUAUUUUAAGACUAAUGUGUUGUGCUAAGAAUCGUUAUGUUUUGAUAUGGUAAUAUGAAUAAAAUAUAGUGAAGCGUGUAUUCA